GGGGAGCGAGGGAAGCAUAAUGGUGCAGAGGAAGAAGCUAAGGAGGCUGUGGUUCCAUGUGGAAUCUGGCCUUACCGUGACCCCAAAGACAGCUCCAUAGCAGAUAGCCCCAAUGCGUUGGUCUCACCUUGAGGCAAGAGGGCCAGCCUUUUACACAGUAGUGUAAGAGGAACCACUCGGGUAAGGGAACCCUGGUUGGCCCAGAAGGCCCAGAACAAGUCUCCGGAGAAGGGGACAGCUGAAAGUCACUAGCAACAAGCACUCAACAGUGGGGAGAGGGUUGCCCCAGGCAGGUGUUAGGGGCUGAAUUGUAUUCCACCCCCAAAUUCAUAUGCUGAAGCACUAACCCGCAGGCCCUCGGAAUGUGGCUGUAUUUAGACACAGGGCCUUUCCAGAGGUGAUUAAAUUAAAAGGAAGCCGAUUAGGGUAGACCCUAAUCCUGUCUGACCGGUGUCCAAGAGGAGAUUAGGACCCACAGAGAGACACCAGGGAUGUGCACGUGCACAGAGACAAGGCCACCAUCUGCAAACCAAGGGGAAAAGACCUCAGAAGAAACCAGUCCUGCUGACACCUUGAUGUCGGACGUCCCAACCUCCAGAACGGUGAGAAAACACAUUUUCUGUCGGCAAAGCCACUGGGUCUUGGCCGCCCAAGCAACCUAAUCAGCAGGUCAUUUAAAUCUGCCUUCCCCCUGAAGAGCAGCAGCGCCAAUUAGGAGAGGCAGUUCAUUUCCUGGCUGGAAUAUCAGCUGCCCGCCCCAGACAGGAGCCAGCCGGCUCUCCCAGCCUACGUGCCACAGUUGGAACAUCUCGGCACUCGGAACAGUGCAGCCGGGCUACAGAUGGACGGUCCUUCCGUUCCAAUGAGCAAUGGCCUGUCGCUGCGUUUCAGUCCUUCACCCACCGUCAAUACCCAGUUCGGACGACGAAGGGCGAUUUGUGUGGUCCUGCCGGGUCUACAAAGGGCCAAGGGAUUGUCCCCAACAUCUCCAUUGAAGAGCGGACCAGAAAGCGAGAGACACAGCAUGAACCGGGGAGGGGCAGAGAGAGAGGGAGA